CUCCCCCCUCCUCCGCUCUCCUCUAGCGCCCAAAAUCAGCCCAAAAUCAACUCAAAACUCCAUUAAUUUCGGAUCUCCUCUCUCCGCUCUCCUCUAGCGCCCAAAAUAACUCAAACUCGAUCGCUUUUGGAUCGCAUCUGCUAAAAUCUAAAUACAAUGUGGCAGAUUACCAAAUCUAUUAGUCCUCUACUAAGGGCAGCUGGUUUUCAAGAUUCCCAUUGCCGCACAGAUGAGAAAUUUUCUGAAAGAGUUCACGUUGAAUACAAUUCAAGUGUACUUAAGAAGAUCUUGUACAAUCCCCAAGGGAGACUUCCGCCAAUCUCCUUUGGGAAUGAAGUGGAGAUUUACUCCACUCAUGUGGAGAAGGAUGAAUCCACUGUGCAUGAUCUAGUGGGUCUGGCCAGCCUACUUUUGCCAUGUUCUCUGGUCGGUUAUUAUGCUGGAAGACUGAUUUGCCGGAAAUCUGGCCCAGCCAUCAACUGGUUUACAUCAGGGGCAAGGGGUCUGCAGCUUAAGCAUGUUAUAGGUCCUGUGCUAACUUUGAUGGUCUUUGGGUAUCAUGUUCAUCAAGAACAAAGAACAAGACCAUAAAAAUAAAGCGAAAUCAAGAAAAUGAAGAGAGGGGCAGGCUCUAUGUGUCAAAUCAAGUUGCAAUGAUUAAUCUAAUGAAAGAAUUCAGAACCAGUAUGGAAUUAUUCUAUUCAAAGCAGGUAUAAACAUAAAUUUUUUUUUUUUUUUUUUUUUUUUCUUCUCUUUCCUUUCUACACAUUUGGAUUACUCCUUGUGACUCCUCAAUGUGCAAGGUUGUUGAUUGUCUUAUGGGAACUCUGUCAAUUUGCUGCAAUGCUGCACCUUCACUCAAUUGAUUAUCUCAAAUUGUCUUUAGAUCAAUAUUUUACUAGUUCCUGAAACUGCGACAGUCAUGUCAAGUAGAGAAUCAAGUGGUCUUUGAGCCUUUUAUUUGAAUAUAUGCAUCAAACUGAGUGAUCGGAUAAAUCAGGAUUUCAGGCACUCAACCUGAAAUUAUUAGCAGGCCAAAUAAACCAAGGAGGGUGCUUUAAUUCCUUGAUUUAGUAUAUGCUGAUCUUUCUUCUUUUUUUUUUUUUUAAUCAUUGUGCCUCGUAAUCUGCUUUGCUGGGAAUUUUUUAAUGCUAUUUCUAUAUGAGUUCAUAUAUAUUUUAUAUGCUUCGAUUUUUACAGUUGGGACAACCUAGACUUGGGUCAAGUGGCUUGCAUUCGCCUCUAUUCACACCAUACAAACGACCCAUUCUUUCUUCAAGUGCAAAUGAUAGCGGGUUUGAUAUGCCAGCAUAUGGGCAAGGAUUCUAUGACUCUCCAAAUGGCUUUCAUCAGUUCCCCAAGUAUGGAUUUUUUCAUGCUGGAGCUUCAAAAUUUCCAGGUUCACAUAUGCCCAAACAUUAUUCGCCUCUGUCUACACAUUAUAGAACCUCCAUUCCUUCUCCUCCAAGUGCAAAUGGCAGUAAGUCUGAUCUGCCAAUGUAUCGUUGGCAAGGCCCUCCAAAUGGUUUUUAUCAGUUCCACACACAGGUUUUUUCAUGCUUCUUUGCCAACUCGAGCUUCAAAAUUUCCAGAACAUUUUCUGCCACUAUCUACACCUUAUACAAGCCCCAUUCCUUGUCCUCCAAGUGCAAAUGAUGGUGGGGUUGCUAAACCAAUGUAUUGGCAAGGAUUCUAUGCCCCUCCAAAUGGUCUUCAUCAUGUGCCCAAGAAUAAUUUUUUUCAUGCUUCUUUGCCUACUGAAGCCUCAUUUUUUCCAGGUUCAAAUUUGCUCGAAUAUACUUGUCCUUUAAAAUUGGUUUAUUUUCUUGUUGAUGUAAUACGGAUCAAAUAUCUCGAAUUCUUUGUCUCCAAAGCACAUGAGCACUUGAUUCUCCUUGUACUGCCUUCAGAAUUGCCAAAGCAAAAACUGCAUUACUGAACCACCAUUUAGCUGCCAUUUGAACUGCUACUCUAAAAGUUAAUGAUUCUGCCAUUUGAGGGUCUGCUACACAUUUGAGCCACCUCGCAGCAGCUCUUUUAAUACAUCCAUUUACAUCUAUAUAAUGAUACCUCCUCCCUCUUGUCUUUUAACAAUAUGGUGCAUCAACAUUUAUCUUUAUCUAUUUGUGAUCUGAAUGUUUCAAUUUUGCCAACGAUUUGUCAUAUCUUCCUGUCCAGUGACACUAGUUUUGAACUCUUCAAACUUCCCUAAAUGUUCAACGACUGAUCUAUUGCCUUGGUUGUGCUUUUCCUUCACCUUUUCACAUCAUCCACCAUAUUAUAUUGAGUUUUCCACAAAUACCAGCACUGAUGUGUAGAAAAACCUGAACAAUUUUCCUUUGUUGUCCUCUCUUUCCAUUUCUUGUUUUUCAGAGUGCCUCAACCAAUCCAUCCAGACUUGCCUUUCCUCUCACUGCUAAUCACUAUGGAAAAAUCUUCCAUAAAAAUUCAGCAAUAUUGUAUCUCUAAAGCAAAUGCUCUACUAUCUAAUUGUCCUUCCUUAUACACAUGCUCUGCAAAUUGCUUUUUCUGGUAUCCCCCUCUAUUUUAAAUUCAUAAUGUUUCACUGUUGAUAUAAACUUAUUUUGAGUAGAGGAUCAAUUUUAACAAGUAACAUAUGCUGAGUGUAUUUUUUAUUUAGGGAAUGACCUUGUGCAAUAUCUUAAACAAUCGUUCUUUGUGAAACUCUCACUGAUUGCGUGAAUUGCAUGUAAUCAAUCAAUCACUUUGCCAUUCAAGCAUCAGCUACAUGUUGGAACCACCUCACAAACACUCUUUUACCACAUCUAUUUGCAUUUCUCACAAUGAUACCUCCCCCUCCCACUUUUGUCAUUUGACAAUAUGCUGCAUCAACAUUUAUCUUCUUUUUCAUCCGCAAGCUGGAUGUUUCCAUUUUUUUCUAGUAAAACUAGUUUUCAACUCCUCAAUUUUAUCUGGAUGUUCAUAAACUAAACUAUUGUCUUUGUUCUGAUUUCUCUUCCACCUCUUUCCACUAUACACCACAUCAUUUUAGCCUUCCAAAAUUGCCAUCAGCGAUGCAGAUAGCCACCAACAAUUUUCUUUUCUGUUCUCUCCUUCCCAUUUUUUUUUUAUCUGAGUUGCCUCCACCAAUCCAUCCAGAUAUGCCAUCCAUCUUAGUAACUUCUAACCUUAAUGAGGAAAGCUUCUACGGAAGUUUUACUGGACAUCUUAUCAAUAUACGCUCUGCUGGCUCAUUUUCCUUUCUACAUACUCUGUGUAUUGCAAUCCCUAACACUGGCGUCAUUUUUUCACUCUUGGUUAAAACUUGUUUGAGUAGAGGAUCAAUAUUAGCCAUAAUAACAUGCCCUGGGACAACAUAUGAUCUAGGAAAUCACAUUGUGCAAUAUCUUACAGUCUUGUCUUUGUGCAAUGGUCACAAAAUGCAUGGAAAAAUAUCUUGGUAUUGUAAAUUAAUCUUCUUAAUCCAUUAUUCUUUGAAAAAAGAGGAGUAAAGAAAAAGAAAAAAACACAGCAGACUGGAAAGCUUUCAUUCUGCAUGUUGAAUAGCAUACACGAUACAUAGAAAUUAGCAUUAGUGCAGUUCACACAACAUUUUUUUUUUUGAUAAGUAAGUGCAGUUCACACAACAUUAUUGGCCGGACUCUUUUUGUAGUUUGCUUAGAACAUAUUUAUCGUUUCCAUGUUAUAUUUGUCUAUGUCCUGACAGUAAGAUCAUUUGGAAUGGAAGAACGUAAGAAAGAAGUUUCACAAGUCCCUUCUAAUGACAAGGGUUUUGAAUACAUACUAUUCCCGGAAAGUGACAUCAAGUUGACUGGAUCUCUGUUUCAAUCUCGCCAUGGCUUCAGAGGGCGUGAAAGGGGAAGAGGAACUGGGUUUUUUCGCAGCCUGAAAUGGUCAGUGAUGAAGUUGAUACCGAAUCUUCGAACUUUGGGAUCAAGUUCGUUUGCAACAAGGAUGACUUGUUCGAUUCUUUACCUUCCAAUGCACUUGGUGGAAGGACUAGGUCCUCUGCUGCACAAAUAAAGAUAGACACACAGAGUUUUGGCGGGUUUUUGAGGUAUCAAGGCAGUCAAGGUGGACGUGGGCGUAGAUGGUGGUGGCCGUUCUAGUGGACUGUAUUGUGGAAGAGGGUAUGGUCACUCUGGGUGGAAUCGUGAAGUGUAAAAAAUCGUAAAUGUUUGGAUAGAAACUAUAGCUCAAGUAUCAACCAGAAAUAUACUCUUAAAUUGUUUUUGAAUUCCUUCAAUCUCUUUCCCAAAACGAGGCUUAUUUGAUAAGAAAUGUGACUUGAGUUGUUUAAAUUGGGGUGGAGAUUGUAUUCCAGAAUUAAAGGCCUUUGAUCCCAGGCAUGUUUGUACAAAGUUACAUUUUCAUUCUGUUAACGUAUAUGGAUUGUGUUUGGUCU